rnacentral:rRNA from 1 species
AGUGAACGCUGGCGGUAGGCCUAACACAUGCAAGUCGAACGGCAGCACAGAGGAGCUUGCUCCUUGGGUGGCGAGUGGCGGACGGGUGAGGAAUACAUCGGAAUCUACUCUGUCGUGGGGGAUAACGUAGGGAAACUUACGCUAAUACCGCAUACGACCUACGGGUGAAAGCAGGGGACCUUCGGGCCUUGCGCGAUUGAAUGAGCCGAUGUCGGAUUAGCUAGUUGGCGGGGUAAAGGCCCACCAAGGCGACGAUCCGUAGCUGGUCUGAGAGGAUGAUCAGCCACACUGGAACUGAGACACGGUCCAGACUCCUACGGGAGGCAGCGGUGGGGAACAUUGGACAAUGGGCGCAAGCCUGAUCCAGCCAUACCGCGUGGGUGAAGAAGGCCUUCGGGUUGUAAAGCCCUUUUGUUGGGAAAGAAAUCCAGCUGGCUAAUACCCGGUUGGGAUGACGGUACCCAAAGAAUAAGCACCGGCUAACUUCGUGCCAGCCGCCGCAGUAA